UGUGGUGACUUUCAGUGUAACAGCAUCAUCUGACCAAUAGUUCACACAGACGCAAGGUGUAACUGGUACUUGAAACAGAUUAUGUUAACAAAAUAACCGAGACUCAAAGAUUAUUUUGGUACACUUUCUUUUUAGUGUCUUAUCAGUGGGUUGAUUCAUCUUCUACAUAAAUCAGUGUUUUAUGACCAAGAAUAUUGCUUGGAUUGUUUUGAAAGUACAAAAGAACCACAUAGUUUCUACUGAUAGGUUUCAGAACUCCAAAAGAUUAAUUUCCAACUUUGAGGUCUGUUUUUAUUUUCAACCUAUGACUUGACUGGUCCUAAAGCUUCUAUUUGAUUAAUACGUUGUCAUUGAUAGAAGCCUGUUGGUUCCGCAAACUGAAAUGAUUGCCGCAGACACUGUUUCCUUUUUCUUGUUGGUGUUGCUGAUUUGUGAGCAUGCUUUCUGAUUACAAAAGCGUGAGUGGCGACCUCCGUGAGUCACGGCAUCAGUUCGUACUCUGCUGUCCUGAUUUAAGCUGCCUAGUAUAGUGCUAUUACAGUUUUGUUCAGUUAACUUUCUUUUUAAAAAGUUGUUUGCACAUUUUUAGGGUGCCCUUACUUCAGUAAAGGAGACGGAGUAGGAGAGCCUUAGAACUUUUGAGGGGAAAAUAAAAAGCUAUAACAUAUAACGUACUGUAUCAAACUAUUUUACAUGAAUGACACAAAUAUUCUGAAUAAAAAAUUGAACAUUGUUAGAAAUAAGGUGUUGUGUAAUAAAUUUAUUUUUCAUAAAUC
rnacentral:lncRNA from 1 species